AUUGAACGCUGGCGGCAGGCCUAACACAUGCAAGUCGAACGGUAACAGGAAGACGCUUGCUUCUUUGCUGACGAGUGGCGGACGGGUGAGUAAUGUCUGGGAAACUGCCUGAUGGAGGGGGAUAACUACUGGAAACGGUAGCUAAUACCGCAUAACGUCGCAAGACCAAAGAGGGGGACCUUCGGGCCUCUUGCCAUCGGAUGUGCCCAGAUGGGAUUAGCUAGUAGGUGGGGUAACGGCUCACCUAGGCGACGAUCCCUAGCUGGUCUGAGAGGAUGACCAGCCACACUGGAACUGAGACACGGUCCAGACUCCUACGGGAGGCAGCAGUGGGGAAUAUUGCACAAUGGGCGCAAGCCUGAUGCAGCCAUGCCGCGUGUAUGAAGAAGGCCUUCGGGUUGUAAAGUACUUUCAGCGGGGAGGAAGGGAGUAAAGUUAAUACCUUUGCUCAUUGACGUUACCCGCAGAAGAAGCACCGGCUAACUCCGUG
rnacentral:rRNA from 1 species